rnacentral:rRNA from 1 species
GAUGAACGCUGGCGGCGUGCCUAAUACAUGCAAGUCGAGCGAACGGACGAGAAGCUUGCUUCUCUGAUGUUAGCGGCGGACGGGUGAGUAACACGUGGAUAACCUACCUAUAAGACUGGGAUAACUUCGGGAAACCGGAGCUAAUACCGGAUAAUAUUUUGAACCGCAUGGUUCAAAAGUGAAAGACGGUCUUGCUGUCACUUAUAGAUGGAUCCGCGCUGCAUUAGCUAGUUGGUAAGGUAACGGCUUACCAAGGCAACGAUGCAUAGACGACCUGAGAGGGUGAUCGGCCACCCUGGAGCUGAGACACGGUCAAGACUCCUACGGGAGGCAGCAGUAGGGAAUCUGCCGCAAUGGGCGAAAGCCUGACGGAGCAACGCCGCGUGAGUGAUGAAGGUCUUCGGAGCGUAAAACUCUGUUAUUAGGGAAGAACAUAUGUGUAAGUAACUGUGCACAUCUUGACGGUACCUAAUCAGAAAGCCACGGCUAACUACGUG